ensembl:lncRNA
GGAGGCUAUAUACAGGGUGUACCAGUACAGAGUCAAUGUGGAGGCUAUAUACAGGGGGUACCGGUACAGAGUCAAUGUGGAGGCUAUAUACAGGGGGUACCAGUACAGAGUCAAUGUGGAGGCUAUAUACAGGGGGUACCGGUACAGAGUCAAUGUGGAGGCUAUAUACAGGGUGUACCGGUACAGAGUCAAUGUGGAGGCUAUAUACAGGGUGUACCAGUACAGAGUCAAUGUGGAGGCUAUAUACAGGGGGUACCGGUACAGAGUCAAUGUGGAGGCUAUAUACAGGGGGUACCAGUACAGAGUCAAUGUGGAGGCUAUAUACAGGGGGUACCAGUACAGAGUCAAUGUGGAGGCUAUAUACAGGGUGUACCAGUACAGAGUCAAUGUGGAGGCUAUAUACAGGGGUACCAGUACAGAGUCAAUGUGGAGGCUAUAUACAGGGGGUACCGGUACAGAGUCAAUGUGGAGGCUAU